rnacentral:rRNA from 1 species
GGGUGAGUAACACGUGGGCAAUCUGCCCUGCACUCUGGGACAAGCCCUGGAAACGGGGUCUAAUACCGGAUACUGACCUUCACGGGCAUCUGUGAAGGUCGAAAGCUCCGGCGGUGCAGGAUGAGCCCGCGGCCUAUCAGCUUGUUGGUGAGGUAAUGGCUCACCAAGGCGACGACGGGUAGCCGGCCUGAGAGGGCGACCGGCCACACUGGGACUGAGACACGGCCCAGACUCCUACGGGAGGCAGCAGUGGGGAAUAUUGCACAAUGGGCGAAAGCCUGAUGCAGCGACGCCGCGUGAGGGAUGACGGCCUUCGGGUUGUAAACCUCUUUCAGCAGGGAAGAAGCGAAAGUGACGGUACCUGCAGAAGAAGCGCCGGCUAACUACGUGCCAGCAGCCGCGGUAAUACGUAGGGCGCAAGCGUUGUCCGGAAUUAUUGGGCGUAAAGAGCUCGUAGGCGGCUUGUCACGUCGGUUGUGAAAGCCCGGGGCUUAACCCCGGGUCUGCAGUCGAUACGGGCAGGCUAGAGUUCGGUAGGGGAGAUCGGAAUUCCUGGUGUAGCGGUGAAAUGCGCAGAUAUCAGGAGGAACACCGGUGGCGAAGGCGGAUCUCUGGGCCGAUACUGACGCUGAGGAGCGAAAGCGUGGGGAGCGAACAGGAUUAGAUACCCUGGUAGUCCACGCCGUAAACGGUGGGCACUAGGUGUGGGCAACAUUCCACGUUGUCCGUGCCGCAGCUAACGCAUUAAGUGCCCCGCCCUGGGGAGUACGGGCCGCAAGGGCUAAAAACUCAAAGGAAUUGACGGGGGCCCGCACAAGCGGG